rnacentral:rRNA from 1 species
CAGCAGUAGCCACGGGAAUACGAAGGGUGCAAGCGUUACUCGGAAUUACUGGGCGUAAAGCGUGCGUAGGUGGUGGUUUAAGUCCGUUGUGAAAGCCCUGGGCUCAACCUGGGAAUUGCAGUGGAUACUGGGUCACUAGAGUGUGGUAGAGGAUAGUGGAAUUUCCGGUGUAGCAGUGAAAUGCGUAGAGAUCGGAAGGAACAUCUGUGGCGAAGGCGACUAUCUGGGCCAACACUGACACUGAGGCACGAAAGCGUGGGGAGCAAACAGGAUUAGAUACCCCAGUAGUCCCUGUCUCUUAUAC